CCUACGGGAGGCAGCAGUGGGGAAUCUUGCGCAAUGGGCGAAAGCCUGACGCAGCCAUGCCGCGUGAAUGAUGAAGGUCUUAGGAUUGUAAAAUUCUUUCACCGGGGACGAUAAUGACGGUACCCCGGAGAAGAAGCCCCGGCUAACUUCGUGCCAGCAGCCGCGGUAAUACGAAGGGGGGCUAGCGUUGCUCGGAAUUACUGGGCGUAAAGGGAGCGUAGGCGGAUAGUUUAGUCAGAGGUGAAAGCCCAGGGGCUCAACCUUGGAAUUGCCUUUGAUACUGGCUAUCUUGAGUAUGGGAGAGGUUAGCGGAACUCCGAGUGUAGAGGUGAAAUUCGUAGAUAUUCGGAAGAACACCAGUGGCGAAGGCGGCUAACUGGCCCAUUACUGACGCUGAGGCUCGAAAGCGUGGGGAGCAAACAGGAUUAGAUACCCUGGUAGUCCACGCCGUAAACGAUGAGUGCUAGUUGUCGGCAUGCAUGCAUGUCGGUGACGCAGCUACGACAUUAAGUACACUCCGCCGUCGGGAGGUACGGUCGCGAGAUAAACUACAAAGAAGUAGACGCGUGAGACGUCGCCGACGGACGACGACGAGGGAGGUUAGG
rnacentral:rRNA from 1 species